rnacentral:rRNA from 1 species
UUCCGGUUGAUCCUGCCGGAGGUCAUUGCUAUCGGGGUCCGAUUUAGCCAUGCUAGUUGUACGUCUAACGUAGCGAAAAGCUCCGUAACACGUGGCCAAACUACCCUGUGGAGGACGAUAACCUCGGGAAACUGAGGCUAAUAGUCCAUACGACACUCAUGCUGGAGUGCAGAGUGGCAGAAAUGCUCCGGCGCCACAGGAUGUGGCUGCGGCCGAUUAGGUAGACGGUGGGGUAACGGCCCACCGUGCCGAUAAUCGGUACGGGUUGUGAGAGCAAGAGCCCGGAGACGGAAUCUGAGACAAGAUUCCGGGCCCUACGGGGCGCAGCAGGCGCGAAACCUUUACACUGCACGCCAGUGCGAUAAGGGGACCCCGAGUGCGAGGGCAUACUAGCCCUCGCUUUUCUCAACCGUAGGGAGGUUGAGGAACAAGAGCUGGGCAAGACCGGUGCCAGCCGCCGCGGUAAUACCGGCAGCUCGAGUGAUGACCGCUGUUAUUGGGCCUAAAGCGUCCGUAGCUGGCCAUGCAAGUCCGUCGGGAAAUCCACUAGCUCAACUAGUGGGCGUCCGGCGGAAACUGCAUGGCUUGGGACCGGAAGGCUCGAGGGGUACGUCCGGGGUAGGAGUGAAAUCCCGUAAUCCUGGACGGACCAUCGAUGGCGAAAGCACCUCGAGAAGACGGAUCCGACAGUGAGGGACGAAAGCUGGGGUCUCGAACCGGAUUAGAUACCCGGGUAGUCCCAGCCGUAAACGAUGCCAGUUAGGUGUGGCGCAGGCUACGAGCCUGCGCUGUGCCGUAGGGAAGCCGAGAAACUGGCCGCCUGGGAAGUACGUCCGCAAGGAUGAAACUUAAAGGAAUUGGCGGGGGAGCACUACAACCGGAGGAGCCUGCGGUUUAAUUGGAUUCAACGCCGGA